UUGCGUUUAGGUGGGGAAAGGUGUCAAUGUUUUCUUUUUUAAAAUAAUAUUGCACUUGUCCCGGCCUAUAUGCGG
rfam:Stomoxys calcitrans breed 8C7A2A5H3J4 unplaced genomic scaffold Scaffold110, whole genome shotgun sequence.